rnacentral:rRNA from 1 species
AUUGAACGCUGGCGGCAGGCCUAACACAUGCAAGUCGAGCGGAUGAAGGGAGCUUGCUCCUGGAUUCAGCGGCGGACGGGUGAGUAAUGCCUAGGAAUCUGCCUGGUAGUGGGGGAUAACGUCCGGAAAUGGGCGCUAAUACCGCAUACGUCCUGAGGGAGAAAGUGGGGGAUCUUCGGACCUCACGUUAUCUGAUGAGCCUAGGUCGGAUUAGCUAGUUGGUGGGGUAAAGGCCUACCAAGGCGACGAUCCGUAACUGGUCUGAGAGGAUGAUCAGUCACACUAGAACUGAGACACGGUCCAAACUCCUACGGGAGGCAGCAGUGGGGAAUAUUGGACAAUGGGCGAAAGCCUGAUCCAGCCAUGCCGCGUGUGUGAAGAAAGUCUUCGGAUUGUAAAGCACUUUAAGUUGGGAGGAAGGGCAGUAAGUUAAUACCUUGCUGUUUUGACGUUACCAACAGAAUAAGCACCGGCUAACUUCGUG